rnacentral:rRNA from 1 species
CCUACGGGAGACUGCAGUGAGGAAUAUUGGUCAAUGGACGAGAGCCUGCACCAGCCAAGUCGCGUGAAGGAUGACUGCCCUAUGGGUUGUAAACUUCUUUUAUAAAGGCAUAAAACCAGGCACUUGUGCCUUUUUGCAUGUACUUGAUGAAUAAGGAUCGGCUAACUCCGUGCCAGCAGCCGCGGUAAUACGGAGGAUCCGCGCGUUAUCCGGAUUUGUUGGGUUUAAAGGGGCCGGAGGUGGGUUGUUAAGUCAGUUGUGAAAGUUUGGGGGUCAACCCUAGGAGUGCAGUUGAUACUGGCAGGCUUGAGUACAGUUGAGGUAGGCGGAAUGCGUGGUGUAGCGGUGAAAUGCUUAGAUAUCACGAAGAACCCCGAUUGCGAAGGCAGCUUACUAAACUGUGACUGACAUUGAGGCUCGAAAGUGUGGGUAUCAAACAGGAUUAGAUACCCGAGUAGUC